rnacentral:rRNA from 1 species
ACCGAGUUUUCGAGCUUCGGCUCGACUCUCCCACCCUUUGUGAACGUACCUCUGUUGCUUUGGCGGCUCCGGCCGCCAAAGGACCUUCAAACUCCAGUCAGUAAACGCAGACGUCUGAUAAACAAGUUAAUAAACUAAAACUUUCAACAACGGAUCUCUUGGUUCUGGCAUCGAUGAAGAACGCAGCGAAAUGCGAUAAGUAAUGUGAAUUGCAGAAUUCAGUGAAUCAUCGAAUCUUUGAACGCACAUUGCGCCCCUUGGUAUUCCGGGGGGCAUGCCUGUUCGAGCGUCAUUACAACCCUCAAGCUCUGCUUGGAAUUGGGCACCGUCCUCACUGCGGACGCGCCUCAAAGACCUCGGCGGUGGCUGUUCAGCCCUCAAGCGUAGUAGAAUACACCUCGCUUUGGAGCGGUUGGCGUCGCCCGCCGGACGAACCUUCUGAACUUUUCUCAAGGUUGACCUCGGAUCAGGUAGGGAUACCCGCUGAACUUAAGCAUAUCAAUAAGCGGAGGAAAAGAAACCAACAGGGAUUGCCUUAGUAACGGCGAGUGAAGCGGCAACAGCUCAAAUUUGAAAGCUGGCCCUUUUAGGGUCCGCAUUGUAAUUUGUAGAGGAUGAUUCGGCGAGGGCUCCUGCCUAAGUCCCCUGGAACGGGGCGUCAUAGAGGGUGAGAAUCCCGUAUGCGGUAGGUUGCCUUAGCCAUGUGAAUCUCCUUCGACGAGUCGAGUUGUUUGGGAAUGCAGCUCUAAAUGGGAGGNAAAUUUCUUCUAAAGCUAAAUACCGGCCAGAGACCGAUAGCGCACAAGUAGAGUGAUCGAAAGAUGAAAAGCACUUUGGAAAGAGAGUUAAAAAGUACGUGAAAUUGUUGAAAGGGAAGCGCUUG